AUACUAAUUGUGAGUCUGCUUACCUGAAUGUGUUUCUCUCUGCAGAAAUUUAGAGAAAGCUGGCAAUGGUAAAGCCAUGUUGUGAGCCUUAAUGACUUGAAGUCAUUAAGGUCCCUGAAAAUGGCUAUAACG